UGAAUGAUCCGGUGAAGUGUUCGG
rnacentral:siRNA from 1 species